GGGCCGGAAGCUCAUCUGGUAUGAGCGGUCCCCUCAUAAGGGAAGGGUAGAUAGGUUCGAAUCCUUCACGGCCCACCA
rnacentral:tRNA from 1 species